rnacentral:rRNA from 1 species
GACGAACGCUGGCGGCAUGCCUAAUACAUGCAAGUAGGACGCAGUUGCGAACGGGUGAGAAACGCGUAGGUAAAUGCCUAUGAGAGGGGGAGAACUAUUGGAAACGAUAGCUAAUACCGCAUACUCGUAGAUGGACCUGCGUUGUAUUAGCUGGUAGGUAGGGUCAUGGCCUACCUAGGCGACGAUACAUAGCCGACCUGCGAGUGUGAUCCGACACACAUGAACUGAGUCACGGCCCAGUCUCCUACGGGAGGCAGCAGUAGGUAAUCUUCGGCAAUUGGGGGAACUCUUACCGAGCAACGCCGCGUGAGUGAAGAAGGUUUUCUGAUCGUUAAGCUCUGUUGUUAAAGAAGCGGUACUUAGCCAGAAAGGGCCGGCUAACUACGUGCCAGCAGCCGCGGUAAUAC